rnacentral:rRNA from 1 species
ACGGACUUAACCGAAAUAUUUAUAUUUUGGAGCGGUUAGUGGCGGACUGGUGAGUAACGCGUAAGCAAUCUGCCUAUUAGAGGGGAAUAACAGUGAGAAAUCACUGCUAAUACCGCAUAUGCCAUGAACAUCGCAUGAUGAAAAUGGGAAAGGAGUAAUCCGCUAAUAGAUGAGCUUGCGUCUGAUUAACUAGUUGGUGUGGUAAUGGCAUACCAAGGUAACGAUCAGUAGCCGGACUGAGAGGUUGAACGGCCACAUUGGGACUGAGAUACGGCCCAGACUCCUACGGGAGGCAGCAGUCGGGAAUAUUGCGCAAUGGAGGAAACUCUGACGCAGUGACGCCGCGUAUAGGAUGAAGGUUUUCGGAUUGUAAACUAUUGUCAUUAGGGAAGAUAAAAGACAGUACCUAAGGAGGAAGCUCCGGCUAACUACGUGCCAGCAGCCGCGGUAAUACGUAGGGAGCAAGCGUUAUCCGGAUUUAUUGGGUGUAAAGGGUGCGUAGACGGGAGAUUAAGUUAGUUGUGAAAGCCCUCGGCUUAACUGAGGAAUUGCAACUAAAACUGGUUUUCUUGAGUGCAGGAGAGGUAAGUGGAAUUCCUAGUGUAGCGGUGAAAUGCGUAGAUAUUAGGAGGAACACCAGUGGCGAAGGCGACUUACUGGACUGUAACUGACGUUGAGGCACGAAAGUGUGGGGAGCAAACA